CCUACAACAGGCAGCCUGAUGCAGCGACGCCGCGUGAGGGAUGACGGCCUUCGGGUUGAAACCUCUUUCACCCAUGACGAAGCGCAAGUGACGGUAGUGGGAGAAGAAGCACCGGCCAACUACGUGCCAGCAGCCGCGGUAAUACGUAGGGUGCGAGCGUUGUCCGGAAUUACUGGGCGUAAAGAGCUCGUAGGCGGUUUGUCGCGUCGUCUGUGAAAUCCCGCAGCUCAACUGCGGGCUUGCAGGCGAUACGGGCAGACUCGAGUACUGCAGGGGAGACUGGAAUUCCUGGUGUAGCGGUGAAAUGCGCAGAUAUCAGGAGGAACACCGGUGGCGAAGGCGGGUCUCUGGGCAGUAACUGACGCUGAGGAGCGAAAGCGUGGGUAGCGAACAGGAUUAGAUACCCUGGUAGUCCACGCCGUAAACGGUGGGCGCUAGGUGUGGGUUUCCUUCCACGGGAUCCGUGCCGUAGCCAACGCAUUAAGCGCCCCGCCUGGGGAGUACGGCCGCAAGGCUAAAACUAAAAGGGAAUUGACGG
rnacentral:rRNA from 1 species